AGUGAACGCUGGCGGUAGGCCUAACACAUGCAAGUCGAACGGCAGCACAGUAAGAGCUUGCUCUUACGGGUGGCGAGUGGCGGGCGGGUGAGGAAUACAUCGGAAUCUACUUUUUCGUGGGGGAUAACGUAGGGAAACUUACGCUAAUACCGCAUACGACCUACGGGUGAAAGCAGGGGAUCUUCGGACCUUGCGCGAUUGAAUGAGCCGAUGUCGGAUUAGCUAGUUGGCGGGGUAAAGGCCCACCAAGGCGACGAUCCGUAGCUGGUCUGAGAGGAUGAUCAGCACAACUGGACCGAGGAACCGGUCCAGACUCCUAUGGGGGGCAGCAGUGGGAAUAUUGGACAAUGGGCGCAAGCCUGAUCCAGCCAUACCGCGUGGGUGAAGAAGGCCUUCGGGUUGUAAAGCCCUUUUGUUGGGAAAGAAAAGCAGCAGGUUAAUACCCCGCUGUUCUGACGGUACCCAAAGAAUAAGCACCGGCUAACUUCGUG
rnacentral:rRNA from 1 species